rnacentral:rRNA from 1 species
GUUUGAUCCUGGCUCAGGAUGAACGCUAGCUACAGGCUUAACACAUGCAAGUCGACGCGCAGCAUUGUCAUAGCAAUAUGACAGAUGGCGACCGGCGCACGGGUGAGUAACACGUAUCCGACCUGCCUUCCACUCGGGAAUAGCCUUUCGAAAGAAAGAUUAAUGCCCGAUGGCACUGAAAGCCGUCAUCCUUUUUCAGUUAAAGAAUUUCGGUGGAAGAUGGGGAUGCGUUCCAUUAGCUUGUUGGCGGGAUAACGGCCCACCAAGGCAUCGAUGGAUAGGGGUUCUGAGAGGAAGGUCCCCCACAUAGGAACUGAGACACGGUCCAAACUCCUACGGGAGGCAGCAGUGAGGAAUAUUGGUCAAUGGGCGAGAGCCUGGACCAGCCAAGUAGCGUGAAGGAUGACUGCCCUAUGGUUUUAAACUUCUUUUAUAAGGGAAUAAAACGGGCCACGUGUGGCCUUUUGCAUGUACCUUAUGAAUAAGGAUCGGCUAACUCCGUGCCAGCAGCCGCGGUAAUACGGAGGAUCCGAGCGUUAUCCGGAUUUAUUGGGUUUAAAGGGAGCGCAGACGGGGUCUUAAGUCAGUUGUGAAAGUUUGCGGCUCAACCGUAAAAUUGCAGUUGAUACUGGGGCUCUUGAGUGCAGUAUAGGCAGGCGGAAUUCGUGGUGUAGCGGUGAAAUGCUUAGAUAUCACGAAGAACUCCGAUUGCGAAGGCAGCCUGCUGGACUGUAACUGACGUUCAUGCUCGAAAGUGCGGGUAUCAAACAGGAUUAGAUACCCUGGUAGUCCGCACAGUAAACGAUGAAUACUCGCUGUUGGCGAUACACAGUCAGCGGCCAAGCGAAAGCGUUAAGUAUUCCACCUGGGGAGUACGCCGGCAACGGUGAAACUCAAAGGAAUUGACGGGGGCCCGCACAAGCGGAGGAACAUGUGGUUUAAUUCGAUGAUACGCGAGGAACCUUACCCGGGCUUGAAUUGCAGAGGAAUAUGUAGGAAACUAUAUAGCCGCAAGGUCUCUGUGAAGGUGCUGCAUGGUUGUCGUCAGCUCGUGCCGUGAGGUGUCGGCUUAAGUGCCAUAACGAGCGCAACCCUUAUCUAUAGUUACCAUCAGGCAAUGCUGGGGACUCUAUGGAGACUGCCGUCGUAAGAUGUGAGGAAGGUUGGGAUGACGUCAAAUCAGCACGGCCCUUACGUCCGGGGCUACACACGUGUUACAAUGGGGGGUACAGAAGGCAGCUACACAGCGAUGUGAUGCCAAUCCCAAAAACCUCUCUCAGUUCGGACUGGAGUCUGCAACCCGACUCCACGAAGCUGGAUUCGCUAGUAAUCGCGCAUCAGCCACGGCGCGGUGAAUACGUUCCCGGGCCUUGUACACACCGCCCGUCAAGCCAUGAAAGCCGGGGGUACCUGAAGUGCGUACCGCGAGGAGCGCCCUAGGGUAAAACUGGUGAUUGGGGCUAAGUCGUAACAAGGUAGCCGUACCGGAAGGUGCGGCUGGAACACCUCCUUUCU